rnacentral:rRNA from 1 species
GGGGAAUCUUCCGCAAUGGGCGAAAGCCUGAUGGAGCGACACCGCGUGAAGGAUGAAGGCCUAACGGUUGUAAACUUCUUUUCUGAAGGAGCAUAAUGAGAGUACUUCAGGAAUAAGGGACGGCUAAAUACGUGCCAGCAGCCGCGGUAAUACGUAUGUCUCAAGCGUUACCCGGAAUCACUGGGUGUAAAGGGUUCGUAGGCGGAGAUCUAAGUCAGGUAUGAAAGACCGGGGCUCAACCCCGAGUUUGUGCUUGAAACUGGAUUUCUAGAAGCAGGGAGAGGUAAGCGGAAUUCUAAGUGUAGGGGUGCAAUCCGUAGAUACUUAGAGGAACACCAAAAGCGAAGGCAGCUUACUGGAACUGAAUUGACGCUGAGGAACGAAAGCGUGGGUAGCGAAAGGGAUUAGAUACCCCUGUAGUC